UGAAUAAUAGGGUGCCCUCAAGGAAUUUCAAAGGUAUCACUCAACAGAAACUUUUGUGUCUGAAGAAAACUAGAUCAUUUUAUCAUGAUGGGCAAAGAGGAUCAUGAAUCAGAGACAACAACAAGAACUACAGAUCAGAAAUCUGAUGCUAAGCUCCCUUUAAGUACUGGAAGGCUGCUCCAAGGCCUCCCUGGAGCCUUCUCUUCUCCAAGCUGAACAGCCCCAACUCUCCCAGCCUGCCUUCGUAGAAAAGGCACUCCAGCUCUCUGAUUAUCUUUUUGACUCCC